rnacentral:rRNA from 1 species
UACGUAGGUGGCAAGCGUUGUCCGGAUUUACUGGGCGUAAAGAGCGCGCAGGCGGUCGGAUAAGUCGAAUGUGAAAGCCCCCGGCUCAACUGGGGAGGGUCAUUCGAUACUGUUCGACUCGAAGGCAGGAGAGGGAAGUGGAAUUCCCGGUGUAGUGGUGAAAUGCGUAGAUAUCGGGAGGAACACCCGUGGCGAAGGCGGUUCUCUGGGACGGUACUGACGCUGAGACGCGAAAGCGUGGGGAGCGAACAGG